ACAAAUUUGUAUUAGGGAUAUAAUUUAAAAAAAAAAAUAAAAAAUAAAAAACAAAAACAAAAACAAAACCCUUUCACGGGUGAAGAGAAGUGCCUCAUGCCGACAAACCUAAAAUCAGGGUCAUCUCUGCAACUUCCAUCUCUGUGACCUCCACCUCCGUUAUCUCCGACUUCAAAUCCGCCUCCUCCACACUAUCUCGCCGUCAUCUCCAUCGUAGAGGAGGAACCCUAAGUCGCCUUCAUCUGAAAUAUCUUCAUCACCUCCGAAGAUUUUAACGAUAAGUAUUUGAGAAUUAGUUUGUACUAGAUUGAGGACAGAGUUUUUAGAUGAUUUGUGAGUUCUUUGACCAUCAAUGGAGAGAAGGAGAUCACCAAGAACUGGAACUACAUUUUUCCCUAAAAGCCCGCUUGUCUACGAGAGUUAUAAGUCUGGUUGUAGUAGGAAACUGGCUUCACGAGAAAUGUCAGUGUAAUGAUGUAAGUGUAUUAUAAAUUGUUUUUGGAGAAACUGAAUCUCUUGAUCUCUUCAGCGGAUUGUAGAAGAAGAACAUUCAUGUAAGCAGAGCAUAAAUGAGAUGAUCUUUAAGCUAUGAAACAGAAGAUGAAUCAUGAGAGCUA